GAGUUUGAUCCUGGCUCAGGAUGAACGCUAGCGGCAGGCUUAACACAUGCAAGUCGAAGGGUAACAUGUCUGCUCGCAGAUGAUGACGACCGGCGCACGGGUGCGUAACGCGUAUAGAAUCUGCCUUGCACUGAGGGAUAGCCUUUGGAAACGAAGAUUAAUACCUCAUGGUAUCAUUGACUGGCAUCGGUUGAUGAUUAAAGGUUACGGUGUAAGAUGGCUAUGCGUCCUAUUAGCUAGAUGGUAAGGUAACGGCUUACCAUGGCUACGAUAGGUAGGGGCCCUGAGAGGGGGAUCCCCCACACUGGUACUGAGACACGGACCAGACUCCUACGGGAGGCAGCAGUGAGGAAUAUUGGACAAUGGAGGCAACUCUGAUCCAGCCAUGCCGCGUGAAGGAUGACUGCCCUAUGGGUUGUAAACUUCUUUUAUACAGGAAGAAACACUGCUACGUGUAGCAGCUUGACGGUACUGUAUGAAUAAGCACCGGCUAACUCCGUGCCAGCAGCCGCGGUAAUACGGAGGGUGCAAGCGUUAUCCGGAAUCAUUGGGUUUAAAGGGUCCGUAGGCGGACUAAUAAGUCAGAGGUGAAAUCCCGCAGCUCAACUGUGGAACUGCCUUUGAAACUGUUAGUCUUGAGUUAUUGUGAAGUGGUUAGAAUAUGUAGUGUAGCGGUGAAAUGCUUAGAGAUUACAUGGAAUACCGAUUGCGAAGGCAGAUCACUAGCAAUAUACUGACGCUGAUGGACGAAAGCGUGGGGAGCGAACAGGAUUAGAUACCCUGGUAGUCCACGCCGUAAACGAUGGAUACUAGCUGUUCGGACGUAAGUCUGAGUGGCUAAGCGAAAGUGAUAAGUAUCCCACCUGGGGGAGUACGUUCGCAAGAAUGAAACUCAAAGGAAUUGACG
rnacentral:rRNA from 1 species